rnacentral:tRNA from 1 species
GGCUCGUUGGUCUAGGGGUAUGAUUCUCGCUUUGGGUGGGAGAGGUCCCAGGUUCAAAUCCCGGACGAUCCC